CUUAGCUAUGGGAAUGAUGUCAAUCUGAAGUUCCCUCAGUCUUCUAUUUGAAAUACUCCAUUAGAAGAUUUUUCUUAAACAGUAGGAAAAAGUAUUUUAGACCCUGCUGAAUAUCUGUACAGCAAAGUACAAUGGUAUUAUGGUAUGUAUCUAGCAAAUUUCAGUCUCAAGUGGGAUGCAUGAAUGAAGUCUUUCAAAACGAUCUAUUACUUUCUAAUGCUGGCAAGUUAUUCCCUCGAUACUAUUUGUAGGAAGGGAGAAGGAAAGAAAAAGUAAUUCUUUAUUUGAUAAUUGUUCACAAGUUGUGUGGUAGUUGUAUUAAUUCAAGUGAAUUGUUAGCUAAUCACUGAGAAGUGUUAUAUUUCCACAUUUGAAAGUACUGUUCAGUCCAUAUGCCUAGAACACAGUUUUCUUUGAGAACUUUUUCUAAAGAGUUGCCAGUAAUUUUUCUCCAUUAAAUAAUUCCUUUGUUAGAAGCUAUGAUAUAAUUGCAUUUUGGAAAGAGUUACAAGAAAGUUUUCAUUUAGUUAUGAAUCAGGCUGUUCACAAUUUUAACCUGUUUUCUGUUCCGUGUAGAACAUUAUGCUUUCAUAUGGCCCCUGUAUUUCUACCUCGAAAGUUAGUAGUUAAUUCAUUCUUGGUGUGUUGAAAAUCCUUGGCAAUACCUGUAUUUACAAUAGCCAACCAACGCGUAUUAACUGCUUUUCACCUUACAAAAUCAUUUGGACCUUUCAAUGCGUUUCUAGGAGUCAUANNNNNNNNNNNNNNNNNNNNNNNNNNNNNNNNNNNNNNNNNNNNNNNNNNNGUUCCCUACAUCAGCAGCUGGAAGAUUCAAAACAAAGAGUCCAACAGUUCAAGGAUGUGAAAAUAGAUGCUGAAAGUUCUAAUAUACAAAUGACUGCUCCCUCUUCCAGCUGGCAAACUCAAAGCAGCUUUUUGUCCAGCCCACUGCUUUCAGAUUCAGGUUGUAAGUAUUGUUUCACUGAAAAAAUCCACAACAAAAUAAGGUAUUUUUCUCUUUUAAAGCUGUUUUACUUGAAUAGAGUGAGGAAUUCUGUUUUUCCACAAAAGCUGCCAUCUUAUGAGUCCUGCUGUAUUUCAGCUUCAGAUACUGGAUGUUUUUGGCUAGAAAGUACUUAG
rnacentral:lncRNA from 1 species